rnacentral:rRNA from 1 species
UACGUAGGGGGCAAGCGUUGUCCGGAUUUAUUGGGCGUAAAGAGCGUGUAGGCGGCUAGGUAGGUCCGUUGUGAAAACUCGAGCUCAACCUCGAGACGCCGGUGGAAACCAUCUAGCUAGAGUCCGGAAGAGGAGAGUGGAAUUCCUGGUGUAGCGGUGAAAUGACGCAGAUAUCAGGAGGAACACCAAUGGCGAAGGCAGCUCGCUGGAACGGUACUGACGCUGAGGCGCGAAAGCUAGGGGAGCAAACGGG